rnacentral:lncRNA from 1 species
CUCUUCAUCAAUUCUCGUCAAAUGCUACAAUUAAAACUAACCAAAAAUUAAUCAAUCAACCCACAUAAAACACAUUUUUUCUUCAUCAAUCACAAUCGGCAACAUCAUCUAACCUUAACAAGGGGGGGAAUCCAAACAGAAACUGGUGGGGGGGGUGUUACUGUGACAGAGGCAAAACAGGGAGGAAUCGUUUUUUUGAACAAUUCAACGCAAAAACAAAGAAACCCACAUCAAAAGACGCGCCAUCGGACACAGAAAAGAAAAGAGAAAGCUUAAAGAGAGAAAGGGGAGAAGAAAAAUCGAAACCUUUUCAAUAGGGAGAAUGAAGAAGGCAAAAACAGCAGCGGCAACAAGGAGAAGAAAGAUGGUGAUCCUGAGAAGAGAAGCCCAUGAAAAAGAAGCCAUAGAAGAGGAAAGCCUAUGACGCCAAGGGCGACAGUCUUCAUCGUCGUCUUGGCAAUCCGAUAUAGCUUGCUUCAAAGACAAGCGGGCUCUCAAGCCUCCAAGAUUUGCCAGGUUUCUUGUCGUUUUGGAGAAAAUGAUAAGAGGAUUGGG